GCCUGGGCAUCUCAUGACUCUUCAGGAGCAGUGAAAGUGCUAUAUUAAGCCCUGUACUGUACAUUGCAGCAUACGAGAAAGACUGUAACCUCCGAACAUGUUGACCAGGAACAUUAUCAUCUUCUGGACACUAGCAGUGCUGCUGGUUGAAGCAGACCUAGAUGCAGGUCUUCAAGCCAUGUCUACAGGAACAGAUCAGGACUCCACCUCUGAUGAGGCUCCAACUGUUAUGUCCUUUAUGAUUAUCUUCACAGAAAGCAUGAACUCUGUGUCACCUGACCAGCCCAACGAUGAGCCACAGCAUUAUAAUGGCGCCACAGCUGACGCGAGCAGCACGAGUGCAGAAGCAGGUCAGGCUGCUGGGCCUCAAGUCAAUGAUGUGACAGCAGCUGAUGGAGCCAAAUCCAGCACUGAAGAACAAGACGAGAAUGAGAGUCCAGAGUCAGAAGAAGUGGUGAAGGCAGCUCCAGUGCAGCGCGCUACUAAAUCACAAACUGCAAACCAACGCAAGCGCAGUAAGCCCGUUGUGGCCUCCAAAAAGAGGACGAGACCCCUUCGCCCGUGAAAAAAAGGCCUACGAAGUACGCACAUUGAGGAUGCAGGACUACGAUGAGAGGAAAGAAUGAAGCAAUCCUGUAUUACGUGGCAUUUUGUUUAUUGCUUUAUUUUUAUUUUGUUGCUUUAUUUCAAUAACCACGAUUUAGAUGUGAUUCUGUUGUGAUGUACUGUACUGACUGUUUUUGUUUGUUUGCUUAUGGUUCUAUUUGUUGUGAAACUAGCAUUCAGCACAGUCUCAAGGGUGUUUCUCAAUUAAAUCACUCUUCAAAUACGGGGACAAAGCUUGUCAGUCAGGGGUUAAUUCAUAAACAAGACAGCCAACAUCAUCUCAGAUUACAGUCAGGCUUUUGUGGUAGAAGUCUAUUUCGGAUUGGAAUAUAACAUUCUAGGUGUUAACAUUUAUCAUCAGGAAAAUACCAAACAUCUCUCAGAUGCCCGGACUUGAUCAUGCUAUAUUUUCACUGGUGCUGGUUACAUGAAUACCGUGUGUUCAGACUAGCCAUAGCUUCUUAGGAACAGUAGUUAAAAUUUUUUGUUUGUUUGUUUUUGUUUAUUUUUUUUAUUAUUUUUUUUACAACAGAAACGUUGCAAAAGCUUGCUUUCAACACAAACUCAGUGUUUAAAGUGUUUCUUUCUUUUGUGAUUGAUCAUAUUUUUUAAAAAAUAAGAAACAGUAUUUAUCUUUAUUAAAUAUAAUUUUCCAAUAUCAAAAUCAUGAAUGUGUUAUUCAUAAAUAAUUCUUUCUAUAUAUUUGAUGACCGAAUAAACUUCAAA
ensembl:lncRNA